CACUACUAUAUAACAAAUAAUUUGAGCAUGAGCGGAGAAUGACUAUAACCGGAAGAAUACCACGUGGUGGGAUCAGGGAUGAACGACCACAACAAUAACGAAUAACACAGCUUAUAUGAUCAGUCCAAUAUAAUAACAGCAAAUUUGGCCGAUUUUUGAGUAUUUGAGCCGUAGAAUAUAUGGCAGAUUUUUGUUUAUUAACAUUGCAUUAUCUUCUUUGCCGUGUUAAUAAAGGUUUGGUUAUAAUCUUUUAACUUCAGGUGGAAAAUAACAGUUGCAUUAAAUGUAAAUUAGUUGUAUAAAAGUAUAAAUUGAACAAUCGCUGUUAAUAAGUGGCAUGGUUAGUGUUUGAGAUUCAGCUUAGUUCGAGGAAUGAAAUUACAGUAAUAGUGCACAUAAUAUAUAUCAUAGAGAGGACUUUAACGGUUAUAUUAUGGCUUUAAUAUUAUCUUUUUUCACAGGAGUGUGGCAUCCAUUUAAGCCAGGAGGAAAAAGACUUGGUGACCGCACAUUCGGAGCUUGAAAAUACCAGCAUUGGUCUUACGUUUCAAUCCGAGAUUGUUGAGGCAUCAUUGAUCCAGUAUUACAAAGAGGAUCUUGAGAUAGCAGAUUUAAGACGCCAUUAUACCCUGGUGCGAACCGACGUCAGAAGUCGAAGACAGUAGUAGCACUUUGCAAACAGUGUUUUUUAAAAAGAUUUCGAGAAGCCAGUUUUGUAAUAAUCAGCAAGCGGCUGUGGAACUAUUUGACUAUUUUAAGUAUUCAUUUUAAUUUAAGUAAUUUAAAUGGUACUCUACGUUCAAAUCACCGAUCUAAAUUGUGAUUUGGUUAUCUUUAACCUUUGAGUGUGUUAUUAAAUCUACUAUUAAUUAAUUUAAAAUUGGUACUCCUAAAAAAUCAAUCCACUUUUAAUAUAUAACGCAAACUAAAUUCCUUUUAGCAGGGUUGGAUUUUGAAAUAUAUGUGUAAUGUUCAUGGAGGGCCAAGCGUGAGUUAGAUACAUAAUUGGUACAAUUAUGGAGCAUCGCGGCUCUAGGCAGCUCUGUUAAAACUAGAUCAAAACCGACAUUACGGCACGUAUUGGCCUUACACAGAGGUAUAAUGAGACCUGAAGUGAGGUCAAUACGUGCCGUAAUGUCGGUUUUGAUCUAAAUUUAAUCCAAAUUCGUAUCGUUUCACUUAUCCUUUCAAAGUUUCAACAGAGUUGCCUAGAGCCGUGUUGCUCCCAAAUCGUACCAAUUAUGUUAUUUUUGACAUAUAGUCUGCAGCGCACC